CCUACGGGAGGCAGCAGUGGGGAAUAUUGCACAAUGGGGGAAACCCUGAUGCAGCGACGCCGCGUGGAGGAAGAAGGUCUUCGGAUUGUAAACUCCUGUCCCAGGGGACGAUAAUGACGGUACCCUGGGAGGAAGCACCGGCUAACUACGUGC
rnacentral:rRNA from 1 species